rnacentral:tRNA from 1 species
GGAUCGCUCAGUUGGUUAGACUGUGGUGCUGAUAAUGCCAAGGUUACAGGUUUGAUCCCUGUACGGGACAGCUGCA